GGGCUGCGAAGCCGCGAGGUGGAGCGAAUCCCAGAAAACCUGUCUCAGUCCGGAUUGAAGUCUGCAACUCGACUUCAUGAAGGCGGAAUCGCUAGUAACCGCGAAUCAGCAGGUCGCGGUGAAUACGUUCCCGGGCCGUU
rnacentral:rRNA from 1 species